rnacentral:rRNA from 1 species
UACGUAGGAGACGAGCGUUGUCCGGAGUUACUGGGCGUAAAGGGUGCGCAGGCGGCCGCCCAAGUUCGCGGUGAAAGCCCCCGGCUCACCCGGGGGAGGGCCGCGAAGACUGGGCGGCUCGAGGGUCGGAGAGGGAUGCGGAAUUCCGGGUGGAGCGGUGAAAUGCGUAGAGAUCCGGAAGAACACCGAAGGCGCAGGCAGCAUCCUGGACGACACCUGACGCUCAGGCACGACAGCUCGGGGAG